UUACUUUCCCAUAGUCCAGAAAAAGCCAAAAAAAAUUAGUAGAUUAGUUUACCCGCAAUCCUAUAAACCCUUUGAACCUUUGCUAGCACUGCUUAGUUGGGGCUUGUUGAGUUUUUGGUUGCAUCGGUUGUGUCGAGUUGCUGGUCUUAGUUUCUUUUCCUUUAGAGUUUUGAGUUCUAUCACGUUUUGGUCACCACGACAUCCAC
rnacentral:lncRNA from 1 species